AAUUCUAAGUUCUGAAGGAUUUGUAAGAAAUGUUUGAGGGAACUACUGAGUCACUGUUAAACACCGAGUGAGUUCCCUAAAACAUUUCUUACAAAUCCUUCAAAACUUAGAAUUUAC